GACGUAGGGGGCGAGCGUUGUCCGGAAUCAUUGGGCGUAAAGGGCGCGUAGGCGGUGACGUAAGUCAGGCGUGAAAGGCAUCGGCUCAACCGACGCACAUAGCCUGAUACUACGUUGCUAGAGUGCAGGAGAGGAGAGUGGAAUUCCAGGUGUAGCGGUGAAAUGCGUAGAUAUCUGGAAGAACACCAGUGGCGAAGGCGGCUCUCUGGACUGUAACUGACGCUGAGGCGCGAAAGCUGGGGGAGCAAAC
rnacentral:rRNA from 1 species